rnacentral:rRNA from 1 species
AUUGAACGCUGGCGGCAGGCUUAACACAUGCAAGUCGAGCGAGCGGCGGACGGGUGAGUCAUAUCUGGGAAACUGCCUGAUUGAGGGGGAUAACUACUGGAAAAGGUAGCUAAUACCGCAUACCAUCAUAUGUGCCCAUACGGGAUUAGCUAGUCGGUGUGGUAAUGGCUCACCUAGGCGACGAUCACUAGCUGGUCUGAGAGUAUGAACCGCCCAACGUGAACUGAGAGACGGUCCCGACGCCUAUGUGAGGUAGCAGUGGUGAAUAUUGCACAAUGGGCGCAAGCCUUAUGCAGCCUUGCCGCGUGUCUGAAGAAGGCCUUCGGGUUUUAAAGCACUUUCAGCGAGGAGGCGUUACUCGCAGAAGAAGCACCGGCUAACUCCGUGCCAGCAGCCGCGGUAAUAC